rnacentral:misc_RNA from 1 species
GAUGAAGAACAUAGCGAAAUGCGAUAAGUAGUGUGAAUUGCAGAAUUCCGUGAAUCAUCGAAUCUUUGAACGCACAUUGCGCCUUCUGGUAUUCCGGAAGGCAUGCCUGUUCGAGAGUCAUUAACAACCGUUUCGAUCCCUUUCUUUCAGAAAUUACAAAGAGGAAAAGGGUUUGGUUAUGGUGGAGGAGGGAAAGGGAGCGUUUAGCCUGUAAAAAAAGAGGCUGUGUUCCGCCUCCCCCCCAAAAUUGUACAGGCGGUCGUGUGCGCCCACGCAUCGAGGUGUUGUAAAAGCUGCCACGGCACUUUUCACCUGUGCAGUGCGAGAUUGGCCAGCCGGUUUAAAAACCCCUCCAAACAAUCAAAGGUUGACCUCGGAUCAGGUAGGGAUACCCGCUGAACUUAAGCAUAUCAAUAAGCGGAGGA